AAGUCAGAUGUGAAAGCCCGGGGCUCAACCUCGGAAUUGCAUUUGAAACUGGCAAACUAGAGUACUGUAGAGGGGGGUAGAAUUUCAGGUGUAGCGGUGAAAUGCGUAGAGAUCUGAAGGAAUACCGGUGGCGAAGGCGGCCCCCCUGGACAGAUACUGACACUCAGAUGCGAAAGCGUGGGGAGCAAACAGGAUUAGAUACCCUGGUAG
rnacentral:rRNA from 1 species